AUUGAACGCUGGCGGCAGGCCUAACACAUGCAAGUCGAGCGGAUGAAGGGAGCUUGCUCCUGGAUUCAGCGGCGGACGGGUGAGUAAUUCCUAGGAAUCUGCCUUGGAGUGGGGGAUAACGUCCGGAAACGGGCGCUAAUACCGCAUACGUCCUGAGGGAGAAAGUGGGGGAUCUUCGGACCUCACGCUAUCAGAUGAGCCUAGGUCGGAUUAGCUAGUUGGUGGGGUAAAGGCCUACCAAGGCGACGAUCCGUAACUGGUCUGAGAGGAUGAUCAGUCACACUGGAACUGAGACACGGUCCAGACUCCUACGGGAGGCAGCAGUGGGGAAUAUUGGACAAUGGGCGAAAGCCUGAUCCAGCCAUGCCGCGUGUGUGAAGAAGGUCUUCGGAUUGUAAAGCACUUUAAGUUGGGAGGAAGGGCAGUAAGUUAAUACCUUGCUGUUUUGACGUUACCAACAGAAUAAGCACCGGCUAACUUCGUG
rnacentral:rRNA from 1 species